UCUGGAUGCUUUUCUUGAGAGCUUAUCUAUCAUUUCUUUAGUAUUACUUGCCCCUUUGCCUGCUUACCUCAGCCUUCUCUACGUGUAUAAAGAAUUUCCUUCACAGCAGACAAAUGCAGUCCAUUGAAUGACAGAAUCUGCCAAGCUACAGUGAAAUUUCUUAUCGAAAAUUCAGCAGCCAUCCUCAAGCAAAGACAGCACCUUCUCUUUCUUCAAAAUGAGUCCUUCCAGGAGAAGUUCAUCCUGAAUGUUGAUGGAAGAAACUAUAGAAAGAAAAUCCCUCUGAAAGUCUGCUGCAGAAAGUAGUUUGGGUGAGUUCCUUGUGUUGAGUCAUUCUAAAAUAUAUGGAAUUAUGCCAGAGGAAAGAAUUGAUUUCUCUGUGUACAUGAAGUAUUGCCUUGAAAAUAUUUUUGUUUUUUAUAUAUGUGGCAUAAUAUUUGUGACAGCACACAACAUUACACAUACAUAACAUUUGUAACAGCACAGUGUUAGCAGCUGAACAGGAACAUUUAUCUAUCUUCAAAUGUUUUAGAUUUUUAUGUUUUAAGUGAGAUUUGGAAGUAAGAACAAUAAUUUUCUGUCUACAACAAAUCAAUGUGAACAAUAUUUAAAAAGCAUUUGAAUAUCUGUUUAACUUAAUUGAAAGGUGUAGUUUGGCACUCUUUACAGUGGAAAGCUGAAGAGUGAAUAAUAAAUAAAAUAAAAUAUCAGGAGAAGAUUUUGUUUUCUUAUUGGAGUAAAAAAAAAUAAUUUAUUUCACAAAGAAUUGGCCUUUCGUAAUUAUUUGGAAUUAGAGGGGAGGUAACAUCAGGGAAAAAACAAACAAACAAACAAACAAAAAAAGCGAAAGACCCCAUGUAAUUUGAGAAAUCCCAUUAGAAAGAUAAUUGAUUCUAGGAAAAAACAUACAUUUAAAGAGCAAAGAUUCCUUCUAUAGUAAAGAAUUCCACAAAUAUUACUCCAGUGAAUACGAUGGUCUCUCGGUUUCCUUUGUGUUCUCUUGAUGUUUUCUCUCUCUUCUAAUAAAUAUUUCAGGGCUCAGAUUUGCAAAAGAUUUUUUCCAUCAGCUUAAAUUAUUAAGGUAAGGGAGUAAGGGAGAAAAAAUAAACUUCAGAUAGAAUAAUCUUCACAGAAAAUAAUCAUGGAAAUUAACAUUUUCUACGACGAAGACUAUGUACUUUUGAUAAAUACCUGUAUAUUUACAUAUACUUUCUUUUCUCUUAAAUUAUGCAUCAGCUGCCAUAUUCUGUAAACAAAGAAAAUCUUACUUCCUAAAAUAUUUAUGAGAUGUCUUACAUAUUAAUAGGGAUAGUAGCUUAAUUCAAAUGAAAAGUAAACAUGUUUAUAGUAUGCUCAUUUUUUCGUGUGUGAUGCAGACCUGAAUCAAUCAAAACAUUGAAGUUAUUGAUGAAUUGUAUGGUUCUCAUGUUAUAUUUACUUUACAGAACUUGUAUAUGCUGAUUUAAAAGUGUAUUUAAAACUAUGGCAGUGUUAUCACAUCCCAUAGAAGGUAUGAAUGACUUAGCACGCUCAAAGAUAAGUCAGUGAAAUUGAUUUCCUAAUAUUUGGUGUUAUUUUGUGACAUAACUGGAAUAAACAGCUAAAGAAGUAAUAAAAAUAUGAAGUUUGUUAAGUAGUACUAAUAUAUAUGCCUAUAUA